UUCUGCUAUAAUUGGUCUUGAUUUGGGGGCGGAAUUCCCCAUUCGUUUUUUGGGAGAAAAACCCCAUAUGAUAGUGUGAUUUCAUAGGCUCAUGUCUCGAGUCCUGUGCAAUGGAUCUUUAUGAAUCCGCCAGGUCUUGACAGAAGCAACGGUAGUUAAAGUAAUUCAUGUGCCAUAGGUUAACUUGGACAUGGGCCUAUGAAAUGAUAUUAUUGUGUGGGGCUGAA
rnacentral:SRP_RNA from 1 species